UACGUAGGGGGCAAGCGUUGUCCGGAUCUAUUGGGCGUAAAGAGCGUGUAGGCGGCCAUACAGGUCCGUUGUGAAAACUGGAGGCUUAACCUCCAGACGUCGAUGGAAACCGUAUGGCUAGAGUCCGGAAGAGGAGAGUGGAAUUCCUGGUGUAGCGGUGAAAUGCGCAGAUAUCGUAAGGAAGACCAGUGGCGAAGGCGGGUCUCUGGACAGUUCCUGACGCUGAGGCACGAAGGUCAGGGGAGCAAACGGG
rnacentral:rRNA from 1 species